GUAACGUACCUUGUGCACCGGGAUAGCGCCGUUAGUAGCAAUACUAACUACCGAAAGGGGCGAUAAUACCGGAUAAUGUUAUUGAUCGCAUGAUUGAUAACCAAAGGAUUUAUCGGCAUAAGAGCGGCCUAUCUCCUAUCAGCUUGUUGGCGAGGUAAUGGCUCACCAAGGCUAUGACGGGUACCGGGGUUGAGAGAUCGGCCCGGCACAUCAGCACUGAGACACUGGCUGGACCUCCACGGAGGGCUGCAGUAACGAAUAUUGGGCAAUGGGCGCAAGCCUGACCCAGCGACGCCGCGUGUAGGAUGAAGUCCUUCGGGAUGUAAACUACUUUUAGGAUUAUGAAAGCCGUCAGCAAUGGCGAUUGAUCUAAUCCAGAAAAAGUCACGGCUAACUCUGUGCCAGCAGCCGCGGUAAUACAGAGGUGGCAAGCGUUGUUCGGAAUCACUGGGCUUAAAGCGUGUGUAGGCAGGUCAGAAAGUGUCUUGUGAAAUCCUCCGCCUUAAUCGGAGAACUGCUCGGCAAACUUCUGACCUUGAGGCAAAUAGGGGUGUCUGGAACUCUUGGUGGAGCGGUGAAAUGCGUAGAUAUCAAGAGGAACGCCUGUGGUGAAAACGGGACACUGGGUUUGUACUGACGCUGAGACACGAAAGCGUGGGGAGUGAACGGGAUUAGAUACCCCGGUAAUCCACGCUGUAAACGAUGCAUACUUGGUGUUGGAAAUUCUGACAUUUUCAAGACCGGAGCAAAAGUGUUAAGUAUGCCGCCUGGGGAGUACGGUCGCAAGGCUAAAACUCAAAGGAAUUGACGGGGGCUCACACAAGCGGUGGAGCAUGUGGUUCAAUUCGAAACAACGCGCAGAACCUUACCUGGGUUUGACAUGGUUGAUGCCUUUCUGGAAACAGAGUAGGCUGCCCGCAAGGGUGAAACUUUCACAGGUGCUGCAUGGCUGUCGUCAGCUCGUGUCGUGAGAUGUCGGGUUAAGUCCCAUAACGAGCGAAACCCCUGCUGUUAGUUACUAUCUCCGCAAGGAGAGGACUCUAACAGGACUGCCGGUGUUAAACCGGAGGAAGGCGGGGAUGACGUCAAGUCCUCAUGGCCUUUAUGCCCAGGGCAACACACGUGCUACAAUGGUGGCUACAAAGCGAUGCAAGACCGUAAGGUGGAGCAAAUCGCAGAAAAACCAUCUCAGUCCGGAUUGAGGGCUGCAAUUCGCCCUCAUGAAGUUGGAAUCGCUAGUAAUCGCGAAUCAGCUAUGUCGCGGUGAAUGUGUUCCUGAGCCUUGUACACACCGCCCGUCAAGUGAUGGAAGCCGGAAAUACCCAAAAUCGGUUUGUCAACCCGCAAGGGGGACGACUGCCUACGGUAAGUUCGGUGACUGGCACUAAGUCGUAACAAGGUA
rnacentral:rRNA from 1 species